UGAAAAGACGGAUUGGUUUUUGUCCUCUGUUUCUCAGACACAUUGACGUAGUUUUUUUUAUUUUUUAUUUUUUGUUUUGUUUUGUUUUGUUUUUGAUCAGUCUGAAAAGAAUAAGAGAGGCAAGCUUUCUUUAGGAACCAAUUUAAGAAUAUAAUUUAUUAAAAUUAAAAAUAAAACCUCACAGUGCACUUGGUUUUAGGUAGGCUAGGAGGAGAGGGACGUAUGUGCUAGGGAGGGGCUAUUUCCUAAUUUCCUCUUCCAGGUCCGGUGCAAAACCAACUUGUCCAUUUUCUUUUGGCAAUGACUACAUUACAUCCUUAUGCCUGGGCAGGGAGGCUUCCAGAUCUGCCUGCAUGACUGUCGCUUCUGCUGGCACAAGUGCAUUCAUUAAUUCACUGCCGUGACCACAGAGGCAUUCGUUAAUUCUUUGGUGAUUCGUUCCCACUUGAGAAAUAAGAGCAAAUGAGAUUUGCUGGGGGUGAGGUCUGGGGGGAUGCGCCUCCUACCCCCAGUGGUGGAAUCUGGUGUGGAGGAGUGGGUUGGGGGGGGGUAGUUUCUGGAGCCUUAGAUAGCUUGCUAGUUCCUGACUAGUUGGGGCGUCUGUCGCAGUUCCCAGCUGAGCGCUUUGUGUUUUGGAUUUCGCACAGCUCCUGUGUCCGGUCCAGCAAGAGGCCUCUUACCCACGGCGGCGGUCCCGAGGCCCCACCGACUUCUUCCAGCGUGUCCGGAUGUGGCUAACCCUUGGCGAGCAGGGGCUCUCUGUGAGGCAGCGGCACUCCCGGGAUCUCAGGAGUUCGAGGGUGGCACUGGCCGCUGCUGCACGCGUUUGAGCUGUGGGCAGCGUGUGCCGAGACUAUGGAGGGCUGAGACAGUGAGGUCAGGGCGUUCACGUGGGCAGCCUCUCCGUGGGUGUUAAAAAUAAAAAAGGAAAAAGAAUGAACUCA
rnacentral:lncRNA from 1 species